AACGAACGCUAGCGGCAGGCCUAACACAUGCAAGUCGAGCGGACCUUUCGGGGUCAGCGGCGGACGGGUGAGUAACGCGUGGGAAUAUGCCCUUCUCUACGGAAUAGUCCUGGGAAACUGGGGGUAAUACCGUAUACGCCCUUUGGGGGAAAGAUUUAUCGGGGAAGGAUUAGCCCGCGUUGGAUUAGGUAGUUGGUGGGGUAAUGGCCUACCAAGCCGACGAUCCAUAGCUGGUUUGAGAGGAUGAUCAGCCACACUGGGACUGAGACACGGCCCAGACUCCUACGGGAGGCAGCAGUGGGGAAUCUUAGACAAUGGGGGCAACCCUGAUCUAGCCAUGCCGCGUGAGUGAUGAAGGCCUUAGGGUUGUAAAGCUCUUUCAGCUGGGAAGAUAAUGACGGUACCAGCAGAAGAAGCCCCGGCUAACUCCGUG
rnacentral:rRNA from 1 species